rnacentral:tRNA from 1 species
AGCUUUAUAGUCAUUGAUGACAUUAGACUGCAAUUCUAAAGGAGUAGAAAGUAAUGUUUACUAAGGCUU